GUCACUGUAUUAUGCAGCAAGAGUAGGAUUAAUAGCAUUUGAUUAUUAUUCAGGUUGACCAGCUCCUAACAGUAGAGAAAGGAAACAUAAAUAAAUGGAGAGGAGAGACUCUUCGUGACAUUAAUGUUGAAGAAACUGUUAGUGGACCAGAAAGUGAAGAUGGAGAUGAUGAUGCUGAUGAUAAUGAUGAUGAUAAUUACGAAGAACUUGAAGUAAAUGAGGAAAGUAGGGAAGAGAGUGGGCCAGAUAACAUUAAGGAGGAUAGAGUGACUAAAGAGAAGGAAACAGUUUAUGUAGACAAAGGUAUUUUAGGAGUUGACAACUGUACAAGACAUCCUACUGAAGACAGUUCUGAGUGAACAAGAGCCCAAGACACCUAGUUAAUGCUGCCCUGUUAUCUACAGAGCUUUUACAUACAAGCCAUGU
rnacentral:lncRNA from 1 species